UAUGACCAAUAAUGGCUCUCCGUCUAACUGUAGGCGACGUUUACAGACUAUUCAUAACCGAGAAUGUGUGUUCCUCGUCACAGAGGCGGUCAUCGCCGCCUGUGUGAUCCGCAUCGUGCUACUACAGAGAAAUAUAUGUAUAUAUAUAUAUACCGCCAGGACCACCUGUAGUACUUGUAGUGAUACAACAUAGCCAGCCGACGGCUCCGACCAAAUCCCCCGUUCGUCGCUCAAAGUACACACGAAAACAAUAUAUCCAAUGCAUCAUGUAAUAGGUAGAUAUACAACAGAUCCAACCCAACAUGUUAUAUUCCACAUCGUGUACACGCCCCGUAGAAUUCCUGUAGUAUCCUCGACCUAGCCACCGACGCGCCUCUCAUGCAGGUUCGCACGCAGAACGGCCGCAAUCCACAGAUCGAUCUCUCCACAUAGCCAUGCAUCGACACCUCGGACCGUUAACCGGCGUGACUGCGGUGGCGGAGAGUGGAAGCACAGGAGUGGUGUUGCGCCGCGGCGCCGAGUGCGGGUUGCGAAACGAGCACAACGGCGUCACGACGGAGCGUAUGUAGCGUAACGGCCGCGAGAUGGACAAAAUGCCUAAGUCCCCUUGCAGCCCGGUAGGGCAUGUGCGGUGGCCCACUUUGUAUGGAAAAGCGUCGACGCACGACCACCACAUACUAAACGACUCCCCCCCCAGUCACUUCUGGACCACCGAACGUUUGCGCGCCGUCUGUGGCCAGGAAGCCGUGUACUAUGUGGAAGGUGAAAGGCAGCUGAUCUCAGCUGCUGGAAGCCCACCCACACUUCUUCCCUGCCAGGCAGUCACCUCUCCGUGACUGGUGGCGCACAGUCCUUCGGGCCUCGCUUCAGAACGGGGUGCCCGCCCACCCCGGCCCGUUGGUAUUCCUCCCGCGCGCUGGUGUUCUCUGUCUUAGUGCUCUGCCCCACGGCUGCGAGUCGACUGGAGUCCGAGUGUCCCAUGCGGACGCGCCCGUGACCCCUGAGAUAUCGUGCCGUGGGAUCUGUAGCUUGCCGAGUCAGAGCACGCCGCUUAAUCAUGCCCGGGGUGCCCGUUGUUGCCGGGUGUCUGAAGUCCGGGGCCGUUCUCGUCCCCGCACCGAUGGAGUCUGUGAUCGUUGGCCGCUGGCCAGCCUUCUUUUACAGAUUCCCGGGGGAGCCGCCCCGCGGAGCCGCCGUUCGUCGGCGUGUCCGCGGGUCUGACCCUCCACCCGAGGCCGUAUGCCGCAGCCUGCCAGCGCCUGCAAGGCGAUUCCUGCCGGUCUACCUGCGUGCGACCGGUUCCUGGGGCUACAGUGGGGCAAUUGGAUGUCAUCUGUUACUCCCGGUGCGCCGGGUGUCGCUGUGCCGGCACUUCGUGUGCCCCUUCCAGAGUGAAGCCUACGUUUACACGCUGCCUCUUCGGAGGCUUUGGGUGCGUUUCGGUGCGUAUCUCCGGAUGCGCUCCCGGACACACCCUGCAGAACUAGUAUCUGGUUGAUUCUGCCAGUAUCAUAUGCUUGU
rnacentral:rRNA from 1 species